UACGUAGGGCGCAAGCGUUAUCCGGAAUUAUUGGGCGUAAAGAGCUCGUAGGCGGUUUGUCGCGUCUGCCGUGAAAGUCCGGGGCUCAACUCCGGAUCUGCGGUGGGUACGGGCAGACUAGAGUGAUGUAGGGGAGACUGGAAUUCCUGGUGUAGCGGUGAAAUGCGCAGAUAUCAGGAGGAACACCGAUGGCGAAGGCAGGUCUCUGGGCCUUACCUGACGCUGAGGAGCGAAAGCGUGGGUAGCGAACAGG
rnacentral:rRNA from 1 species